rnacentral:sRNA from 1 species
CAGAUAAUCAUAAAAUUGUCAUCAGAGC